rnacentral:lncRNA from 1 species
AAAAAAAAAAAAAAGGGCUAAAUUAUAGAAUUUUUUUUUAUAAAUAUUUAUUUUAUUUUUUCAUUUUUUUCCUAACUUUUAAAAAAAUUAUAUUUUACCCCCUCAAUAUUUCAACCCGUUAUAUUUAGGCUUCUUCCGUCGGGUUUCUACCACUAUUUUGUCCAUUUUUUAUAAGUUAUAUCAAAAAUACCCUUCAAACGAAUAUAAAUAUAUUAAAAAAUAUUUUUUAUUAUAAAAAAAGUAAGAAUAAUUUUGUCAUUUUACCAUCUCUAUUAAUGCCGCACCCCUUUAAAAAUAUUUCUGAAAUUUUAAAAGAUAAAAUACAGAUAGUCAUUGCAUGAGAGAGAGAGAGAGAUGGUUUACUUGGACCGGGUCCAUCGCGUCUUCCGUGGACUAGACUGGCUAAAAGCUUUACUUGUGUUUUCAUUUCGGUGGGCCGCGCGACUUUGUUGUGGAUCUAUUUUUAAUAGAAUUUUAUUUUUUUGAGAAAAAUGUAGCAAGCUAUCUGUUUUAUUCAUUAAGCAAAAUAAACUGGCGUACAGUAUGGAAACAGCCAGGACCUCCUAGGGAACUAGUAAAAAAGGUAAAGUGAAAAUGUAAGACAAAGAAAAACAAAAGGAGAAAAAGAGGGGGUGUGAGUAGGGAGAGGAGAGAUAGUAACUGAGGCCCAGACGGCACAUUACAGCGAUGAGUUUCAGUCGUUUAAUAAAAGAUUGACUCGUUCAAGAGACCGGGUAGCAUUGUGCGAGAUUCCUCGGAAGAUUGCGUUGUUUCUGUUUGUCCAGAUCA